UGUUAUUUAGUUUAUGUAAGAACAGUUAAUUUGCAUUUAAAAAGAGUUAUUCAAUAACA
rnacentral:tRNA from 1 species